UGAAAAGAUUUGCCUUGUCUUUUCUAAGAAUGUAUGUGUGUGUGUGUGUGUGUGUGUGUACAUAUGGUGUGAAAUAUUUCUAAAAAAAAAAUGUGGUAAAAAAAUUAAAUAAAUAAAUAAGCAAAAGGAAAACAGUCAGAAUUAAAAAUGGCAAAUUGGCGAAUGGAAAAGUAUUUGAAGGAAAUCUGAGAAGGGUCACUGUUGGUCAUUUCCCAUGGCUGCAAAUUGCUUCUGCAAUACUUGGCUUCACCAAACAAAACUCUGUUCUUCAGCUUCUGCUUCUUUUGGUGGCGGUCUUCAUGUUUGCUGCUCAAACAAACCUUAUAUCUUUUAAAGCCUCCACCUUUCAAUUCUCUCUAAACCUUUUCUUCAAAAUCAACCACGAAAUGACCUCCUUUUUCAUUCCCUCUCUUUCUCUCAUCCACUGUAACUCCCUCGUAAAGCCCUUGCCUUGUCUUCUUUCUCAUCCCCACUUCAACCUAAUUCCCCAAAAAAGAAAAAAAAAAAAAGUUAUAAACUGGCCCUUGUAAAUACCCAUUAGGCUGAGUUCCUUUCCUUUUUUUUUUUUUUUUUUUUUUUGUUGCACCAUAUAUAUUAUCAGCUUCAAAUUCGAUUCUUUUUCAAUCGCUAUUAGGAAUUUUGGGUUCUGGGUGUUGUUAGGCAUUGUGUUCGAGUUUUAAAUUUAUGGAUAGGGCGCUUGAUUCUUCGAUUCUCAGUCCUUCGAGGUUUGUCUAUGGCUCCAAAUCAUUUUCUUGCAUUUCACUAGGCAUAUGAAAUUGCCCAUCAAGAGUUUGCAGGACAGCAAUAGAUACCCAUUUAGAUUGGCGUUGAAUUGCGUUGUUUCUUGUGGUUUUGGGAGCUUUCUGGGUUCUACAUAUCAGAGGAAUAACUUGUUUGUUGGUAGAGCUAAUUUGAGAUCUGUAGAUAAACACAGUGAGAAUUUGGGUGGUAAAAAUGGCCACUUGGCUGUGAAUUUUGAGCUUGUCAGGGAUUUGUUGAAGCAUGGAAUAGUUUUGGCAGCAAUGGUUUGUGGGUUUUGAUGUAUGGCCGUGAAAUAGCUUUUGCAGUGGAGGGUGUUGUCAAUGCUGGGUAUGUUGUUAUUGGGCAGAGCAUAUUGUUACUGAGGAAUGCAUGGCCCAAGACAUUACAGGUCCUUUUGGUUUUCAGAUAUCAAGGUUUAAUUUUGGCUGCCCUUUUUGGUCUCUCAGCUUUUUUCUCAAUGGCAGAGACGUCGAUUACAACUCUAUGGCCUUGCAAGGUCAAUUUUUGGGGAAGUGGUAUUCUGAUUGAUGGAUUCUUAGCGGUUCAGCCAGUGUUAGAGGAGGCUUUAGACCUUCCAAUCAGCAAAGCUAUCUUCUGAAACAGGUCAAUUUCUCAACUAUCCACAUUGUUUGGUUCUGUUUCUUGAAAAUAAAAACACUUCCUUGGCCAACUUUGCUGAGUGCUACAUAAGUUCUAUUACACUAUAAAUAUAAUUGUAUGAUUCUUGGCAAAGACUGAUAUUGUUGCAUCAUAUGUUACAAUAAUAAUUAAUAACUAUGCAUUGCUAUAGAUUAACAGUUUUCAAUAAUACGUCAUUAAACAAGAUUGACGAUCUAAUUUUUCACUUCGAAACUUUUUUGUCUACCUAAUUAUACAUGCAAAAACCUUAUCCAUAUAACAUUAUAAACACUAUAAACAUUCUAAUCAGGCCUUGUCAAAUCUAUUCAAAAUCUUUCAGUGAAAUACUCAGGAAAUAAUCACUUGCCUUUUUUCUUAGUGGUGCAGAAAUUAAAGUAAACAAAUUGUGUUAUGUGACAUUAAUUUAUUUCGACAAACAAAGCACUAAAUAAUUUUGUAUGGUAUCUCAAAUGAACGUUAACCAGGAAGUGGCUUUUAUUUUAUUUUUGGUUGGUCAUUACAAAAUGGGAUUAAAUAAUUCUCUAGAACUCUGCAUUACAUAUGUGAUAUAACUAGUAUUAUGGAUGACGGUCCAAGUGGAAGCUAAUUUCCAGUUCAUUUUUAAACUUGAUACAUGAGUUGACCCAUUGUCAAAAAUUAUGGCUUCAGAGUUUUGACUAAUCGUUACAUAUUCAUAAUUGCUGUCUGUGAUUAUAAUCCACCAAUUUCAGUGAAUUUAUGGUCAGAAAUUGGUGGUUUCCAUAUUUAUUCCUUUUGAAUUUUAUAAUUUUCUUCUUCCUUGGACUAUUUGGUGUAAUUUUCCUUAUUAUUAUUGUUGUUAUUAUUAUUUUCAAUUCAGGAAGCUGUUGAUAUCCAAGGUGAUUGAUUAUCUCACGUUUUAAGUUUGUAAUUUCAAAUCUUAUGAGUAAUUAAUCGUAAGGGCAUUCCAAAUGAUCAAGAUACUAAUAAUUCCCAGGCAUGAAGAUUGUUUUCUCUUGUUGUGUUCAGUUAUAACUCAUACAUUUAUUUGCAUGCUUUUCUAUUUUAACUUUGUCACACUUUGAAUGGCUAAUUCAUGUCUUCGAGGCGCCCUGUUAGGCUAAAUUUCCUCUGUAUCUUUUUGUAUUGUCAAAGGGUCAUAUCAUUUGCAGUAUGUUUCUUUUCUUAAUCUUUGUGAUCAGCUGAAUGUUUCAUUCGUUUGCUAAAUCAAUAAUUAGAACAUCAUUUAUUGCCAUGCAUUAUGUCAUAUUAGGUGCAAAAGGGACUAAGUAUACAUUAAGAAUUUCUAGAUUAUAUGUCUAUCACAACAUUAAGAAUUUCUAGAUUAUAUGCCUUCUACAAGGUCUGUUGUCUGGAUGCAAGCUUCACACAAGUUCAAAUGGUCCUUUUGUUAAAAUGUUGGACAGGGUUUGUUGACUUGUGUGUUUUGGAAUAUUGAAUUUCCUGGCUUUUUCUUUAUCAAAUCUUAUUAUUGGAGUUUCUUUCAAUUAAUAUGUUGUUUAAUGUUUUCUCUUUUAGUAAUUUGUAAACUCUCUGAGUGUGCUAGGUUUUUUUAUAGAAAUGCUGAACAUGGUCUGUAUAAUGUUUUGGGUUUAGAGCUUUGAUGUCAGGGUACAGUUGUCAGUACAAGUAAUCUUGUAUUAGUACAAAUGAAGGAUAUAUGUCAGGAUUUGGGGUUGAUCACUGAGAUUUAGACUUAAAAAGUAUCAUUCUUAGAAGUAUGCUAUUAACAGUACACUGCAGUUUAUGAUAAAUAUUAUUUUCUAUUUUUCAUCUAACAUUGUAUUACCUUCAACCAUAGCUUGGUUGUUUGGUGGCACACAUGAAGGAGGGUUUGGAUCUGUUUUCCCAUGAAAGGGCAGUCCAAAUUUUGUCUCCCAUUGGCUUUUAAUUUUCAAUUUCUGUUUUCCAUAGGGAAAUUUUUUUUUUUUGUUUCCUCAGACUUUUUCUUUGUUCCUUUUUUUUUUUCAGUUUAUUGUUUUCCUUAAAACUUAUUUGGUAUGUAAAAUUUCAUAUUUCCAACCAACAUCUAGAUGUACUUGCACAUGGAAUUCUGGUUGUCUUUUCUACAUUAUUGGUUGAGUUGCUUGAGAAUGCUUAUUUUGAAGAUGAAAAAUGCGUUUUGUAGUUUCUGACUUCUCUUUUUCAACAGUUCUUCUAUUUUGGUUCCCUUUGUAGAAUGGGAAGUUUAUUUAAAAUUUUGAACAUUUUGCUUCUCUUCCACAGCAACAAACAAAUUGUCUUAGUAAAGUUCUUUGCCUUUCGAUACAUGCUGUCUACAUUGUUGGGUUUUGCAGGUGUUGCCACACUCUCUUUGAUGCCUCUCCUAUGUUCAUCAACCAAGGUGUGUACUCGAUGAAAUGUGUUGCCAUUUCAAUUUGCAUUUUCAUCUCUACCAUAUUGGCUUCAUAAUUGAAAUAUAUGAAUGACAUAAGCAGCAUUUUGCAAAGGCAUGUUUCAGAUUUUUGUAUGUGGAGUAAUAUUAUGUGGAGACACUCAGGCUUCGUUUGAUAUGCGGUAUUUGAUUGUAUUGGAAUGAGUUGUAUUGUAUUAGAUUGUACUAAAAUGUAUUAUACUAUACCAAUGCUGUGUUUGAUGCAAGAUUGUAUAAAAUAAUAUCUUGUUUGGUACAACAGUGUAUUGUAUUGUAUUAUUUUUUAUUUCCUAAAUUAUUACUAUUAAGAAAAUAAACAUUAUAAAACUUUCAUAUGAUCCUCUCUUCAUUUUACAUAUUAUUAUAAUACAUGACAAUAAUAAAGUUUAAUAUUAAAAGAAAUAAAAAAAAAUGAAUGGUAUCAUAUAUAGUUUAGGGAAAAAAAAAAAAAAGAAAGAAAGAAAACUUCAAAAAAAACUUAAAAAUUACUAAAUUGGCAAUAAAACAAAAACAAAAAUCUGGGUUUAUCACCAUAAAAAGUGUCCAAGAAUUAAACUAGUACAGUAUCAAAUACUGGGUUUAUGAACACACAUUAUGGUACAACACAAAUCCCAGUAUUAUUUAAAACCGUAAGGCACAAAAAGUAGAUAAAUAAGUUUCAUUCUGUACCAAUCUUAGGCAUCUUUAUAGUAUUUUUUCGUAAGCCUUCUCACUUUAGAUGCUUAUUAAACCAUUCCAACAUGUCCUUAUGAGCCUCCUCUGCUUUCUUGAAAACAACUUCAUCGUUAACAUCAUAUCUCACUGCCCAGCCAUGUGAAGCAUUCGGAAAUAUCUUGACAACAAAGAAUAUGGACAAAAAAUGAGUAUCUUGAAUAUAUAUCUUGCAUAUAUAUUCUUUACAAUGCCCAAGGUCAAAAUGAGUAUGGACAUAAACAUUGCAUACUCACGAUUGGUAGUUCACUUAUCCUGACAACAAUUACAAGAGACAAAUAAAUGGGUUAGACGAGUAUGUAUUGUAACUAAAAUAAAUUAAACUUCUCCUUUUCCUCCCAGUUGUGACUUUGAAAGGAUUUUUUCAAAUGGCAGAGUUAGAGGAACAAAUUAGCACCCACACUUCUCACAUAAAAUGCAACAACAUGGACAUUCUUAUGCCUCCAAAUUUCAUGUCCCAUGAAUAAUUUAUUUAAUGAUAUUCAAGAGUUGAUGAGAAUAUAAGGACAGAAGGAAGAAGUCAUACCAUCCUAAAAGAACUAAAAAUAUGGGAAUAUGUCACUACCAUAACAUUUACAGAAUUAAAUUUCCAUAUACAUAUACAUCCAAUACAUGUGAACAAGCAAUUGACAAAAUGACUAUUACCAUUUAUUUGUUGAUGUGAGCAAUUUAAGUGAUGUUUGUCGACUCUCAAAAGUUUAGACAUACUAGGACACGUGUCUUCUAGGGUUACAAUAUAUACGUUUUAAGCAAAUAGUCACUUUUGAAAAGAAAAAGAACUAUCGAAUAAUUGAUAAGCUAAUAACUCUUUAGGUUCUUAAUAAAAGGUAAAGCAGCUCUAUAACUCAGCACUCUUUUUAGCAAAAAAGAAUAAACUCUUUUCCUUUUUCUUUCCUCAUUAAUGUAGAUGAAGCCAUGAAGGCACGGUCUUUAAGCAUCCAAAUGAGUGCUGCACAAGUACCCUGUUCCUUUUCUAUCUUAAACAACAAACUUGUUAUAUAGGAAGGGCCCUACUAAUCGCACACAGAGGAACUUAUUUUACCCAAUCACAACAAUCUUACAUGGUUUCCACAUUAUCAAGGUUAAAAUGUAAAAGGUCCAACUAAAUUGCAUUGUUGUUCAUCUUCUUUAUUGCAUUAAAAAAACCUCAAACUAAGCAUGUUCCUUCACCGACUACUUGAGUUAUUAAAAUGCUUGCAGCCAAGAGUAAAACAAUUAAACAAACUUUUGAAAAAUUAAAAUGCUUGCAGCCAAGAGUAAAACAAUUAAACAAACAAUUAAAAAAAAAAAAAUGCUGCGUGCCCUCAUGAUAUAUUUCCUUCUCAUUCCAUAAUUCUGUUGUUAUGUGGUGUAUUGAAGUAUUCAUUGAUGUGGAUAUGGGAAUACUUUCAAGUUUAUUGUUCGAGCAACUAAAUUUUUUCCUUAAUGUCUUGUAUGGUUCUGGCUAUGUAUAAA